UGGGGAAUCUUCCGCAAUGGACGAAAGUCUGACGGAGCAACGCCGCGUGAGUGAUGAAGGAUUUCGGUCUGUAAAGCUCUGUUGUUUAUGACGAACGUGCAGUGUGUGAACAAUGCAUUGCAAUGACGGUAGUAAACGAGGAAGCCACGGCUAACUACGUGCCAGCAGCCGCGGUAAUACGUAGGUGGCGAGCGUUGUCCGGAAUUAUUGGGCGUAAAGAGCAUGUAGUCGGCUUAAUAAGUCGAGCGUGAAAAUGCGGGGCUCAACCCCGUAUGGCGCUGGAAACUGUUAGGCUUGAGUGCAGGAGAGGAAAGGGGAAUUCCCAGUGUAGCGGUGAAAUGCGUAGAUAUUGGGAGGAACACCAGUGGCGAAGGCGCCUUUCUGGACUGUGUCUGACGCUGAGAUGCGAAAGCCAGGGUAGCGAACGGG
rnacentral:rRNA from 1 species